rnacentral:pre_miRNA from 1 species
UUAACUCAAAUUUGUAAGCAGUAGAACCGUUUGCCGUUAGGGGCGCUGUUUCAACUGCAUACAAAUUUGAGUAU